AGGGAGUAUAUCAUUUACAAUU
rnacentral:snRNA from 1 species